AAGAAUGUUUGUGAUGCUCAUCUCUGAAUGAUGCAUAGUGUCUGCCUGUAUUCAGAUUUUAAAAAGAAUUUAAAAAAAGAAUGCAUGAACAGCAGGUAGACUGGUCAGCAGUGAUUCAGUCCCUGGCAGCCAUGAUGAGAGCACCACAAACUCAACUCAGCCCUGCUAGAGGUGGAUAUUUCUCCAUUUCCUUUCAUGGCAUUGCACCUACGUUACACCAGGUAUCAAGGGAAAAUGGCUAGCAGUGAGUUCUCUAGCUUUUCCUGCUCUACAGCCCCUCUGGCUUAGCCAGCUGGAUCACACUGAAUUAGUCAAGUACUUCAUUAUCUCCCUUCUCUGCACAUUUAGCUCCAGCGAGAACGAACCCUUCCACAGCAAUACCAACCUCGGGGGUCUCCAAGCACUUCUGCACCUGCCUCGGAAGGACAGACAGCCUUUCCCAGCUGCCCACAGGUGGAAGCAGGCUGCGAGC